rnacentral:rRNA from 1 species
UCGAGAAUCUUCGGCAAUGGGCGCAAGCCUGACCGAGCGACGCCGCGUGCGGGAUGAAGGCCUUCGGGUUGUAAACCGCUGUCAGUUGGGAGGAAAUGCCAUGGGGUACUCUCCAUGGUUUGACCGAUCUUCAGAGGAAGUCCGGGCUAAGUUCGUGCCAGCAGCCGCGGUAAGACGAACCGGACGAACGUUAUUCGGAAUUACUGGGCUUAAAGAGUGCGUAGGCGGCUUGGCAAGUUGGGUGUGAAAUCCCUCGGCUCAACCGAGGAACUGCGCUCAAAACUGCCAGGCUUGAGGGAGAUAGGGGUGAGCGGAACAGAUGGUGGAGCGGUGAAAUGCGUUGAUAUCAUCUGGAACACCGGUGGCGAAGGCGGCUCACUGGAUCUCUUCUGACGCUGAGGCACGAAAGCUAGGGUAGCGAACGGGAUUAGAUACCCCCGUAGUCC